GACGAACGCUGGCGGCGUGCUUAACACAUGCAAGUCGAACGGAAAGGCCCUGCUUGCAGGGUACUCGAGUGGCGAACGGGUGAGUAACACGUGGGUGACCUGCCCUGCACUUCGGGAUAAGCCUGGGAAACGGGGUCUAAUACCGGAUAGGAGCCAUUUUUAGUGUGAUGGUUGGAAAGUUUUUUCGGUGUAGGAUGAGCUCGCGGCCUAUCAGCUUGUUGGUGGGGUAAUGGCCUACCAAGGCGGCGAAGGGUAGCCGGCCUGUGAGGGUGGACGGCCACACUGGGACUGAGAGACGGCCCAGACUCCUACGGGAGGCAGCAGUGGGGAAUAUUGCACAAUGGGCGCAAGCCUGAUGCAGAGACGCCGCGUGGGGGAUGACGGCCUUCGGGUUGUAAACUCCUUUCGCUAGGGACGAAGCUUUUUGUGACGGUACCUAGAUAAGAAGCACCGGCUAACUACGUG
rnacentral:rRNA from 1 species